GUAGGUGGCAAGCGUUGUCCGGAAUUAUUGGGCGUAAAGCGCGCGCAGGCGGGGUCCUUUAAGUCUGAUGUGAAAGCCCACGGGCUCAACCGUGGAGGGUCAUUGGAAACUGGGGGACUUGAGUACAGAAGAGGAAAGCGGAAUUCCAAGUGUAGCGGUGAAAUGCGUAGAGAUUUGGAGGGACACCAGUGGCGAAGGCGGCUUUCUGGUCUGUAACUGACGCUGAGGCGCGAAAGCGUGGGGAGCAAACAGGAUUAGAUACCCUGGUAGUCCACGCCGUAAACGAUGAGUGCUAAGUGUUAGGGGGUUUCCGCCCCUUAGUGCUGCAGCUAACGCAUUAAGCACUCCGCCUGGGGAGUACGGCCGCAAAGGCUG
rnacentral:rRNA from 1 species